rnacentral:rRNA from 1 species
UACAGAGGUCUCAAGCGUUGUUCGGAUUCAUUGGGCGUAAAGGGUGCGUAGGUGGCGCGCUAAGUCAGGUGUGAAAUUUCGGAGCUUAACUCCGAAACUGCAUUUGAUACUGGCGAUCUUGAGUCCGGGAGAGGUGAGUGGAACUGCGAGUGUAGAGGUGAAAUUCGUAGAUAUUCGCAAGAACACCAGUGGCGAAGGCGGCUCACUGGCCCGGUACUGACGCUGAGACGCGAAAGCGUGGGGAGCAAACAGG